rnacentral:rRNA from 1 species
CCUACGGGCGGCAGCAGUGAGGAAUAUUGGUCAAUGGGCGCAAGGCUGAACCAGCCAAGUAGCGUGAAGGAUGAAUGACCUAUGGUUUGUAAACUUCUUUUAUAGGGGAAUAAAGGUAUCCACGUGUGGAUAUUUGCAUGUACUUUAUGAAUAAGCAUCGGCUAACUCCGUGCCAGCAGCCGCGGUAAUACGGAGGAUGCGAGCGUUAUCCGGAUUUAUUGGGUUUAAAGGGAGCGUAGAUUGGUUGUUAAGUCAGCGGUGAAAGUUUGCGGCUCAACCAUAAAAUUGCAGUUGAUACUGGAAGACUUGAGUACAGUUGAGGUAGGCGGAAUUCGUGGUGUAGCGGUGAAAUGCUUAGAUAUCACGCAGAACUCCGAUUGCGAAGGCAGCUUACUAAGC